rnacentral:rRNA from 1 species
GACGAACGCUGGCGGCGUGCCUAAUACAUGCAAGUUGAGCGCUGAAGGUUGGUACUUGUACCGACUGGAUGAGCAGCGAACGGGUGAGUAACGCGUGGGGAAUCUGCCUUUGAGCGGGGGACAACAUUUGGAAACGAAUGCUAAUACCGCAUAAAAACUUUAAACACAAGUUUUAAGUUUGAAAGAUGCAAUUGCAUCACUCAAAGAUGAUCCCGCGUUGUAUUAGCUAGUUGGUGAGGUAAAGGCUCACCAAGGCGAUGAUACAUAGCCGACCUGAGAGGGGGAUCGGCCACAUUGGGACUGAGACACGGCCCAAACUCCUACGGGAGGCAGCAGUAGGGAAUCUUCGGAAAUGGACGAAAGUCUGACCGAGCAACGCCGCGUGAGUGAAGAAGGUUUUCGGAUCGUAAAACUCUGUUGGUAGAGAAGAACGUUGGUGAGAGUGGAAAGCUCAUCAAGUGACGGUAACUACCCAGAAGGGGACGGCUAACUACG